AUUGAACGCUGGCGGCAUGCCUUACACAUGCAAGUCGAACGGCAGCACGGGAGCAAUCCUGGUGGCGAGUGGCGAACGGGUGAGUAAUAUAUCGGAACGUGCCCAGUCGUGGGGGAUAACGUAGCGAAAGCUACGCUAAUACCGCAUACGAUCUACGGAUGAAAGCGGGGGAUCGCAAGACCUCGCGCGAUUGGAGCGGCCGAUAUCAGAUUAGCUAGUUGGUGGGGUAAAAGCUCACCAAGGCGACGAUCUGUAGCUGGUCUGAGAGGACGACCAGCCACACUGGAACUGAGACACGGUCCAGACUCCUACGGGAGGCAGCAGUGGGGAAUUUUGGACAAUGGGCGCAAGCCUGAUCCAGCAAUGCCGCGUGCAGGAUGAAGGCCUUCGGGUUGUAACUGCUUUGUACGGUAACGAAACGGUGAGCUCUAAUAAAGACUUGCUAAUGACGGUACCGUAAGAAUAAGCACCGGCGUAACUACGUG
rnacentral:rRNA from 1 species